rnacentral:misc_RNA from 1 species
UUCACUCAUGUUAUUAAGUCUGCAGAACCUGUGUUUACUGUUGUGUUUUCAUCGUUCCUUGGUGAUACAUAUCCUCUGACUGUUUGGCUUUCAAUUCUUCCCAUUGUGUUUGGUUGCUCCCUGGCUGCAGUCACUGAAGUGUCCUUCAAUUUUGGGGGCUUGUCGGGUGCUAUGAUCAGUAAUGUUGGGUUUGUUCUUCGCAACAUUUUUUCAAAAAGGAGCUUACAGAACUUUAAGGAAGUGGAUGGCUUAAACCUGUAUGGAUGGAUAACCAUAAUCUCAUUUAUAUAUUUAUUUCCAGUAGCAGUGUUUGUGGAAGGUUCUCAAUGGGUGGCAGGGUAUCACAAAGCUCUUGGAACUAUAGGAAAUCCUAACACAUUUUAUUUAUGGGUUCUCAUAUCUGGGAUUUUCUAUCAUCUCUACAACCAAUCCUCUUACCAAGCUCUGGAUGAUAUUAGUCCCCUGACGUUUUCAGUGGGUAAUACUAUGAAGAGAGUGGUGGUGAUUGUCGCCACUGUGUUGGUAUUCAGGAAUCCAGUCAGGCCUCUAAAUGCACUUGGCUCUGCUAUUGCCAUAUUUGGAACUUUCUUGUACUCACAGG